rnacentral:lncRNA from 1 species
UGCUGACUUAACUUCGUGAUUUCAAGAUCUAUUGGCUCAAUGCUUCGGAGUUGACUUGACUUCGUAAAUUUUAAGAUUUAUUAGCUCAGUUCUUCAGACAUGUAUAUUGUGGAUAUCUCGUUGUAACGUGUAUGUCUAAAAAAAUUAUGUUUAGGCGGCCCAACAAAAUGCUUAGCACUCCGCAACCAUUAACGUCGACACUGGACUAGGGCAUCCAAUUUAAUUAUUACCACAUCCACAUGCAUGCAAAAGGUACUCUCUCGCCCCGGUCACUAAUAAUACAUUAUGUUUUCCCAACAUGAUCCCAUGAAACAGAGACAGGCAUGUGCAUGAAAAGGUACUCUCGCCCCGGUCACUAAUACAUUACGUUUCCCAAC